AACGAACGCUGGCGGCAUGCCUAACACAUGCAAGUCGAACGAGACCUUCGGGUCUAGUGGCGCACGGGUGCGUAACGCGUGGGAACCUGCCCUUAGGUUCGGAAUAACUCCCCGAAAGGGGUGCUAAUACCGGAUAAUGUCUUCGGACCAAAGAUUUAUCGCCUUUGGAUGGGCCCGCGUUGGAUUAGCUAGUUGGUAGGGUAAAAGCCUACCAAGGCGACGAUCCAUAGCUGGUCUGAGAGGAUGAUCAGCCACACUGGGACUGAGACACGGCCCAGACUCCUACGGGAGGCAGCAGUGGGGAAUAUUGGACAAUGGGCGAAAGGAUGAUCCAGCAAUGCCGCGUGAGUGAUGAAGGCCUUAGAGUUGUAAAGCUCUUUUACCCGGGAUGAUAAUGACAGUACCGGGAGAAUAAGCUCCGGCUAACUCCGUG
rnacentral:rRNA from 1 species